rnacentral:misc_RNA from 1 species
AACCAUAGAAACCUGCGGAGUACCUGCGGAGGGAUCAUUACAGGACUCGCAAGACUCCUUAAACCCCUGUGAACUUACUGUUUAUACGUUGCUUCGGCGGGUGCUCCGGGGUCCGCCCCGGGGCGCUGCGCCCGCCGGCAGCCUACUUAAUUCUGUUUCUCUGCGUUGGCAUCUCGAGUAGCAAAAUAAGUUAAAACUUUUAACAACGGAUCU